rnacentral:rRNA from 1 species
CCUACGGGUGGCUGCAGUGAGGAAUAUUGGUCAAUGGACGCAAGUCUGAACCAGCCAUGCCGCGUGAAGGAUGAAGGCCUUCUGGGUUGUAAACUUCUUUUACCUGGGAAGAAAACUACGAUUUCUAUCGUAGCCGACGGUACCAGAGGAAUAAGCACCGGCUAACUCCGUGCCAGCAGCCGCGGUACUACGGAGGGUGCAAGCGUUAUCCGGUUUUACUGGGGUGUAAGGGUGUGUAGAAGUCCGUGGAGAAAUCUCCGGGCUCAACCUGGAAACUGCCAUGGAUACUAUUAGUCUUGAAUUUUGUUGAGGUAGGCGGAAUAAGUCAUGUAGCGGUGAAAUGCUUAGAUAUGACUUAGAACACCAAUUGCGAAGGCAGCUUGCUAAACAAAUAUUGACGCUGAGGCACGAAAGCGUGGGGAUCAAACAGGAUUAGAUACCCCAGUAGUC